UACGGAGGGUGCAAGCGUUAUCCGGAUUCACUGGGUUUAAAGGGUGCGUAGGAGGGCAGGUAAGUCAGUGGUGAAAUCCCCGAGCUUAACUUGGGAACUGCCGUUGAUACUAUCUGUCUUGAAUACCGUGGAGGUGAGCGGAAUAUGUCAUGUAGCGGUGAAAUGCUUAGAUAUGACAUAGAACACCAAUUGCGAAGGCAGCUCGCUACACGAAUAUUGACUCUGAGGCACGAAAGCGUGGGGAUCAAACAGGA
rnacentral:rRNA from 1 species